rnacentral:lncRNA from 1 species
UAGCUAGCGGCGGAGGCGCUCCCAUCGCGGAUGCUUACACGAUCAACGGCCACCCCGGCCCCAACUAUAACUGCUCCGUCAACGGUAAGCCUCAAGUCUAGUAAUAAGGAUAAAAAUAGUUACAUGAGAUGUAAGAAAAAGGUAAAUUAAGCAGAAACGUUCCUUAGAUGUGUACAGGAUGAACGUGGUACCCGGGAAGACCUACCUGCUGAGGUUGAUCAACGCGGGAUUGAACACAGAAAACUUCUUUGCAAUUGCUAAUCACAAGCUCACCAUAGUCGAAGCAGAUGCAGAGUACACAAAGGCGCUCCACACCGACAAGGUGAUGCUCGCGCCGGGCCAGACCCUCAACGUCCUCGUCACAGCAGAUCAGCCCAUAAGUAGAUACUCCAUGGCUGUCGGGCCAUACAUGUCUGCAAGAAACGUACCGUUUCAGAACAUAACCUCAGUAGGAUAUUUUCAGUACCUAGGUGCAACACCAAACAGCAUAUCUUUACCAGCCAUGCUACCUAGUUUCAACGACAAUCUUGCCGUUAAAACUGUAAUGGACGGGCUCCGGGGCCUCAACACCUCGGAUGUUCCUAAAGUAAUUGACAAGAACUUGUUUGUCACCAUAGGUGUGAAUGUGAAUAAGUGUAAUAGAAAAAACCCCAAGAAAAACUGCCAAGGCACUAAUGGUGGGGUGUUUGCUGCUUCCAUGAACAAUAUAAGUUUCAUUAGACCUAAUGUUUCACUUUUAGAAGCUUAUUACAGGGAUAAAGCUGGCUACUUCACUGAUGAUUUCCCCGGGGCACCCUUAAAAUUUUACGAUUUUGUUAACGGGGCGCCUAACAAUGCUCCUAAUGACACCAACGCGAUGAAUGGGACGAGGUUGUUUGUGCUUGAGUAUGGGACAAGGGUUCAAC